rnacentral:lncRNA from 10 species
CAGGAAAGAAGCCUCCUCACCAGUCUCAGGAAGAAAAAUCCUAGAGAAGGCUCUGAUUAGACCAACAUGGUCACAUGGCCACCUGUGUAGCAGGAGAGAAAAGGAACACACUGUACGAGAGAGGAGAAGCAGUUCUCUAAGCAGAAGGGAGCUGUUUGUUACUAGAUGAAGGAGACAGAGCACUGGGCAGACAAGUGGAACAGAUGUCCCCUCCAGAUAUAAGGUGACAUUACUGCUAUUCAUAUCAUUUCACAACAUGCAAUCGUUUAUGGGAACCUCUGAGAGUCAGGGGAGAUGAGAAAAAGGAAGUGGAGAUCAGAACAGAUCACAGA